rnacentral:rRNA from 1 species
AUUGAACGCUGGCGGCAUGCCUUACACAUGCAAGUCGAACGGCAGCACGGGGGCAACCCUGGUGGCGAGUGGCGAACGGGUGAGUAAUGCAUCGGAACGUGCCCAGUAGUGGGGGAUAACCAGUCGAAAGGCUGGCUAAUACCGCAUACGACCUACGGGUGAAAGCGGGGGACCGUAAGGCCUCGCGCUAUUGGAGCGGCCGAUGUCUGAUUAGCUAGUUGGCGGGGUAAGAGCCCACCAAGGCGACGAUCAGUAGCUGGUCUGAGAGGACGACCAGCCAGACUGGGACUGAGACACGGCCCAGACUCCUACGGGAGGCAGCAGUGGGGAAUUUUGGACAAUGGGCGCAGGCCUGAUCCAGCAAUGCCGCGUGCAGGAAGAAGGCCUUCGGGUUGUAAACUGCUUUUGUACGGAACGAAACGGUCCUGGUUAAUACCCGGGGCUAAUGACGGUACCGUAAGAAUAAGCACCGGCUAACUACGUGCCAGCCGCCGCCGUAACAC